GUUCAAACGAGGAAGGGCUUACUGUGGAUACCUAGGCACCCAGAGAUGAGGAAGGGCAUGGUAAGCGACGAAAUGCUUCGGGGAGUUGAAAAUGUGCAUAGAUCCAGAGAUUCCCAAAUAGGUUAACCUUUUUAACUGUUGCUGAAUCCAUGGGCAGGCAAGAGACAACCUAGCGAACUAAAACAUCUUAGUAGCCAGAGGAAUAGAAAGAAAAAGCGAUUCUUGUAGUAGCGACGAGCAAAAUGGGAGCAGCCUAAACCGUGAAAACGAGGUUGUGGGAGAGCACAAUAUAAGCUCUAUGCUGCUAGGCGAAGCGGUUGAGUCCUGCACCCUAGAUGGUGAGAGUCCAAUAGCCAAAAGAAUCAUUGGGUUACGCUCUAACCUGAGUAGCAUGGGGCACAUGGAAUCCCAUGUGAAUCAGCAAGGACCACCUUGCAAGGCUAAAUACUCCUGGGUGAUUGAUAGCGAAGUAGUACCGUGAGGGAAAGGUGAAAAGAACCCCCAUCAGGGAGUGAAAUAGAACAUGAAA
rnacentral:ncRNA from 1 species